CCACCCCACGCGUCUACCGUCCACGCCCCACUUCUUCUGGCACGCGCACGCGUCUUCACGCCCCGCCCGAAAAGCGCAACGCGCAGAUCCCCUAUACGCGAUACCCCAAUCGAAGAAGAGAGGAAAAAGAAAGCGAGCUCUGCGGCGGAGCCAUGUCCGGGGCCGGGGAGUACCAGGAGAUGGCCGCGUCGGUGCCGCCGGCGCUCAAGGCCAUCACGCUCACCCACGUCCGCUACCACCGGGGCGACAGGGUUGGCCUCUUCCUCGCGUGGGUCUCCCUAAUCCCCGUCUUCAUCAGCCUCGGCGGCUUCAUCUCCCACUUCAUGUUCCGCCGCGAGCUGCAGGGCAUCUGCUUCGCCUUGGGGCUCCUCGUCUCGCAGGUCCUCAACGAGCUCAUCAAGCACUCCGUCGCGCAGUCCCGCCCGGUCUCGUGCGAGCUGCUCGAGACCUGCGACUCCCACGGGUGGCCGUCCAGCCACGCGCAGUACACCUUCUUCUUCGCCACCUACCUCUCGCUCUUCGUGCUCCGGCGGUCGCCGGCGAGCCGCGUCAUGGCCGCCUUCUCAUGGCCUCUCGCGUUCCUCACCAUGCUCUCCAGGGUGUAUCUCGGCUACCACACCGUCCCGCAGGAUUUGCAAAACACUGGGAUACUAAUUGAUAUCCUACAGGAAUCGAAGGAAUAAAAAAAGUGAUCUAACCUUUCUAUGAAUCAAUCAUAUGGGAUUGGGUGGAAAGCAAUACAUAUGAAUUUUGGCGCUUUCAUUCCUUUGAUCCGAAGGGCCUUCAUAGGGAAAGUUUGUAUGGUUGAAACCAUAGGGAUUAUUCACAUUAGAAUUUGCGUAUCUGUUUGCAUUUGAAUUUCAAUUGGUUGAAAUCCAUCAAUUGAAUCAUUCGGAUCUAAAACUCAAGAAUAUUUCUUUGAAAGCACAAAAAUUACAGCUAAAGCGCUAUCCUUAUGGACUCAAUAGGUGAAUGAAAUUCAUAUGGUUAAUCUGUUGGACCUAUCUGUUUGCAUAUGAAUUUGAACCAUAGGACAAUUACAUUUUGGGUGGAUAUGUACUUGAAAGUUGGGUAUUCUCUCUUCAUAGUAUACUUGUUCCUGAAUCAGCAGUGUGAUUCGGCUUAAUGGCAUCAUCCUUGAGAAAAGUUGGUGGUCUCCCUGCAUACCUGCUUGUUUGGAACAUUGUUGGUUUUAUUGCUUUUAUAAAUGUCAUGACUGCCACUAAAAAACUGACAGAUAUUUCAAUUUGAUGGGUUCAUUAGGUUUUCGCAGGAGCAGUAGUCGGCCUUGUAUUUGGUGCUAUCUGGUACUGGUUCGCCAACACCAUUCUUGCUCAAUACUUCCCAAUGAUUGAGGAGAGCGCAAUUGGGAGGUGGUUUUAUAUCAAGGAUACUUCACAUAUUCAAGAUGUGCUCAAGUUUGAGUAUGAUAAUGCAAGGGCAGCAAGGAAGAAAGUUGCUACUGAUUGAGGAUUGCAGGUUUCUGCUCAUGGAUUAUAUGGUUGGUCUAUCUCAGGGAGGGUAAGAACUUGUGUGGCAUGGCAAGAUGUUUGCUUCGUUGAAGCUGCACGCGAACCCAUGUACUCCUAGCUGGACUUUUAUUAGAAGAGAAGCCCAUUGGAGUUGUGGUGUUUUUUUUUUUUUGCUUUUCCUGGCCAUAAGCCAUUGUUCUUUUUAACCCCAGACCCUUGUAUUCAUUUAGCGAUGAGUUGAUUUUCGUUUACAUUUGGACAAAGACCACAGCUUUUUUGUACUCGACUGAAUUAUAUCUGUGCCAUAUAUUGUUCAUAUAGAUGGUGUAUUUUUUGUUUA